rnacentral:rRNA from 1 species
CGAGUGGCGGGAGGGUGGGUAAUGUCUGGGAAACGUGCCUGAUGGAGGGGGGUAACUACUGGAAACGGUAGCUAAUACCGCAUAACGUCGCAAGACCAAAGAGGGGGACCGUUCGGGCCUCUUGCCAUCGGAUGUGCCCAGAUGGGAUUAGCUAGUAGGUGGGGUAACGGCUCACCUAGGCGACGAUCCCUAGCUGGUCUGAGAGGAUGACCAGCCACACUGGAACUGAGACACGGUCCAG